GGAACUCUAAAAGAACACCUCUAUGGUCCUCAAUCACCUGAUAGACGUAUUAACUGGAUCAGGCGCCUUGAGAUUGCUGAAGAUUCUGCAAAAGGAAUCGAAUAUCUUCACACGGGAUGUGUUCCAUCCAUCAUCCACAGAGAUGUGAAAACUAGCAAUAUUCUGCUGGACAAGAAUACGAGAGCAAAGGUUUCAGAUUUUGGUCUCUCCAAACUUGCAGUAGAUGGAGCUUCUCAUGUGUCAAGCAUAGUCCGUGGAACUGUAGGAUAUCUGGAUCCCGAAUAUUACAUUUCCCAGCAGUUGACGGACAAAAGUGACGUUUACAGUUUUGGUGUCAUUCUCUUGGAGUUAAUAUCUGGACAAGAAGCAAUAUCUAACGAAAAUUUUGGUCACAAUUGCC
rnacentral:misc_RNA from 1 species